AGAUUGUGAAAAAUUUCAUGCAUGAUUUGGACACCAUCACAAAGGUUUCAGACGUCUGCCUCAUGGGAGGGAAAGGCCUCUACUUUCCCAAUGGGUCAUCAGGAGAUCUGGAGUCUAUCUCCGGGAACUAUAAUGCAUGUCUUUGGACUGGGGGAGGAAACAGGAGUACCCGGAGGAAACCCCCAGGGCGGAGGCGGGAUUCGAACCACCAACCCUGUAGGGUCACACGAAAUCAUAUUUCAGCAGAGAGAUUCCUCUAUGCGGCAUGGCUUCAGGCUCCAAUCACAGCUGGGAUCAGGUAACCCCCUCCAGGCCCGUCUUUGGCGCGUUCCAGUGCUCACAGCCCACCCAGGUGGAAGAGCCCACUGCGUAUCAGGGUUCAUUUGUAAAUCCUUAUGGGGUGAUGAACGAGCUGUUGUGAGUGAUGUCACGUUCUUAAGAAAACCCGAACGACGUUUGAGAUGUUUCACUCGAAGGAACGGAUGAAAGAAAAAACAAAGCUCGGUAUUUCAGAAAGGUGAUGACAUACCACCUCGAAGGAUUACUGGCGCUGAAACGAUUCCACCCAAAAGUAUUGCGAUGUCAACACUUUAAAGUUUACGUUAAUGGAUAAUUACCCGUUCUGCUUCAUCCUGUGCCAAGAUGUUGACACUACAUGGUCCAUUAAGUCAUCCAGCUCCCUACUAUGUGUGAACAGCUGAAAGCCACAUUGUGAUAGAUUCCCUGGAGGAACUUCAUGUAAUCUUCUGUGAUGUGCUGUCUUUAUCCUUGCUGUCUUUAUUUCGAGAUGGCUUGCAGAGGAUGCCAGUUUCCGAAGGGCGACUGACGCAGGUGUUGACAGUCUGUCAUGAUGUUUCAACAUGUCCGUCCUCCUCGAACCGCGCUGCUUCUGGGAUUGUAUAAACAAACCUACAGGUGUUUGGGUGGAACAUGUCUCUUUCGACUCCUGCAGAUGCCAAGAUAUCAUCCACCACACUUCAGCCGCCGUGCCAUUAUUUUCUGGCGUAUUUCAGUGAAUUGCACUCGUAGUCAAAAUGAUCUGUCAUCUAUUUUUUUUUUCUUUGGCACUACCAACCACAUUAGCACAAAUUCGUAAUUUUAUUUUCAUAUUUCCUAGACCAGGUUUCAAUGAUCGUUUCAGCCAUUAUUGACCAAUCUAAACAUAACAAACUUUCUAUCAAAAGGCCUUCUGGGUGAGUUCUGUUCCAGACAUCUAUGCUAAUGCUGACCCAAUCCUUCUAACAAAUGUCAAUAAAGAUAAUAAACUAUUGAAAUGAUUUUUUUUUUUUUAAUGUUAAUCAGCAUUCCCGCAAGGUGAAAUGACCUGAAGUCAACGAGGGCAUGUUAAAAAAAUGUAUAUAUUAGAACACAGUACCUGUUUACAGUAAUUUUACAAGCUAAUGCAAGAAGUUGAUACACUCUA